rnacentral:rRNA from 1 species
UACGUAGGGUGCGAGCGUUGUCCGGAAUUACUGGGCGUAAAGAGCUCGUAGGUGGUUUGUCGCGUUGUUCGUGAAAACUCACAGCUCAACUGUGGGCGUGCGGGCGAUACGGGCAGACUGGAGUACUGCAGGGGAGACUGGAAUUCCUGGUGUAGCGGUGAAAUGCGCAGAUAUCGGGAAGAACACCCGUGGCGAAGGCGGCUCUCUGGGACGGUACUGACGCUGAGACGCGAAAGCGUGGGGAGCGAACAGG